rnacentral:rRNA from 2 species
UGAAGAGUUUGAUCAUGGCUCAGAUUGAACGCUGGCGGCAGGCCUAACACAUGCAAGUCGAACGGUAACAGGAAGCAGCUUGCUGCUUUGCUGACGAGUGGCGGACGGGUGAGUAAUGUCUGGGAAACUGCCUGAUGGAGGGGGAUAACUACUGGAAACGGUGGCUAAUACCGCAUAACGUCGCAAGACCAAAGAGGGGGACCUUCGGGCCUCUUGCCAUCAGAUGUGCCCAGAUGGGAUUAGCUUGUUGGUGAGGUAACGGCUCACCAAGGCGACGAUCCCUAGCUGGUCUGAGAGGAUGACCAGCCACACUGGAACUGAGACACGGUCCAGACUCCUACGGGAGGCAGCAGUGGGGAAUAUUGCACAAUGGGCGCAAGCCUGAUGCAGCCAUGCCGCGUGUAUGAAGAAGGCCUUCGGGUUGUAAAGUACUUUCAGCGGGGAGGAAGGUGUUGUGGUUAAUAACCGCAGCAAUUGACGUUACCCGCAGAAGAAGCACCGGCUAACUCCGUGCCAGCAGCCGCGGUAAUACGGAGGGUGCAAGCGUUAAUCGGAAUUACUGGGCGUAAAGCGCACGCAGGCGGUCUGUCAAGUCGGAUGUGAAAUCCCCGGGCUCAACCUGGGAACUGCAUUCGAAACUGGCAGGCUUGAGUCUUGUAGAGGGGGGUAGAAUUCCAGGUGUAGCGGUGAAAUGCGUAGAGAUCUGGAGGAAUACCGGUGGCGAAGGCGGCCCCCUGGACAAAGACUGACGCUCAGGUGCGAAAGCGUGGGGAGCAAACAGGAUUAGAUACCCUGGUAGUCCACGCCGUAAACGAUGUCUACUUGGAGGUUGUGCCCUUGAGGCGUGGCUUCCGGAGCUAACGCGUUAAGUAGACCGCCUGGGGAGUACGGCCGCAAGGUUAAAACUCAAAUGAAUUGACGGGGGCCCGCACAAGCGGUGGAGCAUGUGGUUUAAUUCGAUGCAACGCGAAGAACCUUACCUGGUCUUGACAUCCACAGAAGAAUCCAGAGAUGGAUUUGUGCCUUCGGGAACUGUGAGACAGGUGCUGCAUGGCUGUCGUCAGCUCGUGUUGUGAAAUGUUGGGUUAAGUCCCGCAACGAGCGCAACCCUUAUCCUUUGUUGCCAGCGGUUAGGCCGGGAACUCAAAGGAGACUGCCAGUGAUAAACUGGAGGAAGGUGGGGAUGACGUCAAGUCAUCAUGGCCCUUACGACCAGGGCUACACACGUGCUACAAUGGCGCAUACAAAGAGAAGCGACCUCGCGAGAGCAAGCGGACCUCAUAAAGUGCGUCGUAGUCCGGAUUGGAGUCUGCAACUCGACUCCAUGAAGUCGGAAUCGCUAGUAAUCGUGGAUCAGAAUGCCACGGUGAAUACGUUCCCGGGCCUUGUACACACCGCCCGUCACACCAUGGGAGUGGGUUGCAAAAGAAGUAGGUAGCUUAACCUUCGGGAGGGCGCUUACCACUUUGUGAUUCAUGACUGGGGUGAAGUCGUAACAAGGUAACCGUAGGGGAACCUGCGGUUGGA